rnacentral:rRNA from 1 species
GAUGAACGCUAGCGGCAGGCUUAACACAUGCAAGUCGAGGGGUAUAGUAGCAAUACUAGAGACCGGCGCACGGGUGCGUAACGCGUAUGCAACCUACCUUUUACAGAGGGAUAGCCCCAGAGAAAUUUGGAUUAAUACCUCAUAGUGUUAUUAGAUGGCAUCAUUUGAUAACUAAAGUUCCAACGGUAAAAGAUGGGCAUGCGUCCUAUUAGCUAGAUGGUAAGGUAACGGCUUACCAUGGCUACGAUAGGUAGGGGUCCUGAGAGGGAGAUCCCCCACACUGGUACUGAGACACGGACCAGACUCCUACGGGAGGCAGCAGUGAGGAAUAUUGGACAAUGGGCGCAAGACCUGAUCCACGCCAUGCCGCCGUGCAGGAAGAAG